UACGUAGGGUGCAAGCGUUGUCCGGAAUUAUUGGGCGUAAAGAGCUCGUAGGCGGUUCGUCGCGUCUGCUGUGAAAACCCGAGGCUCAACCUCGGGCCUGCAGUGGGUACGGGCAGACUAGAGUGCGGUAGGGGAGAUUGGAAUUCCUGGUGUAGCGGUGGAAUGCGCAGAUAUCAGGAGGAACACCGAUGGCGAAGGCAGAUCUCUGGGCCGUAACUGACGCUGAGGAGCGAAAGCAUGGGGAGCGAACAGG
rnacentral:rRNA from 1 species